UACAGAGGGGGCGAGCGUUGGUCGGAAUUACUGGGCGUAAAGGGCGCGCAGGCGGCUCGACAAGUCAGAUGUGAAAGCCCCGGGCUCAACCUGGGAACGGCAUUUGGGACUGUCGGGCUAGAGUUCGGGAGAGGUGGGUGGAAUUCCCAGUGUAGAGGUGAAAUUCGUAGAUAUUGGGAAGAACACCGGUGGCGAAGGCGGCUCACUGGACCGAGACUGACGCUGAGGCGCGAAAGCGUGGGGAGCAAACAGG
rnacentral:rRNA from 1 species